rnacentral:piRNA from 1 species
UUAUGUAGUGUGCAAAUGAUU